UCUUCAGGGAAGUCUAUUUCUUUUCCCUUUCUUCUUUUCUUUUCGGCCAAGCAGAAAGUCUACUAUUCGUCCCCGCUCUACUGUUCAUCUUCCAGCUCCAGACAAAGCCAGGUCUCCUUCUUCUUCGGGGAAGUCUAUUUCUUAUCACUUCCUUCUUUUCUUUUCAGCCCAGCAAAAAGUCUACCUCUCCUGCCCACGCUACUGUUCAUCUUCCAGCGCCAGACAGAGCCUGAGCCAGCCGUCCCGAGCCUGUGCAUCGCCGCCUCCUCCAUCAAAUCCGGCCGAUAGUGUGGCUCAUUUCGAAAAUUGGUUGAGGGGAAAUAUUCCUCUUAUCCUCCUCUACCUAUGGCCCCCAAAAUCUGACUUUAUCCCUUUGAAUCCGGCGCGAAUUUGGAUUCAUUUUCGAGUUUAUCUCUCCGCCAAACCCUAGGUUUUCCCGGCAUGGUUCCUUGCGUUCCAAGUAGGAAUCCAUCUCCCCCUCUGCCGUGCCUCCCUCAGCCCCACCUAAUCUUAUUCAAUCCUCCCCUAUAUAAGCCGUCCUCUCCCCUCCUGUUUCCUGUUUUUGUUGCAGCCGCCCCUAGCCUCCUCCUCCUCCUGUUUAGCCGCCUCCUGCACCCUAGCCGCCGCUGCUGCUUGUCGUCACCCCUCGCCGUUGUCGUCUUGGUCAUCGCCGUCAUCUUCUCCACGUCGUCAUCAUCAUCGUGUGUUGCCACCGAAUCGUCGCCGUCUUCCUCUUCGAUCUUCCCCGCUUGUCGUUUCCGUUGUGUCGAAGGUUCGUGAGUGCAUCGGAAGUGUUCCAGAAGACUAACUGGAGACCGAUUAUUGCAAGGCAAGUCACACAGAUCCCAAAUAACCCUUUGAUCAUGUUGAACCCGUUUAAAGCUAUUGUUUUAUUUGAACUCCUACAUUAUUUUCGAAUGUCAUCGGGUGGUGAGCC